UACGGAGGGGGCUAGCGUUGUUCGGAAUUACUGGGCGUAAAGCGCACGUAGGCGGACUGCUAAGUCGGGGGUGAAAUCCUGAGGCUCAACCUUAGAAUUGCCUUCGAUACUGGCGGUCUCGAGUGCGGGAGAGGUGAGUGGAAUUCCCAGUGUAGAGGUGAAAUUCGUAGAUAUUGGGAAGAACACCAGUGGCGAAGGCGGCUCACUGGCCCGCAACUGACGCUGAGGUGCGAAAGCGU
rnacentral:rRNA from 1 species